rnacentral:rRNA from 1 species
GUGACCUCAAAUCAGGUAGGACUACCCGCUGAACUUAAGCAUAUCAAUAAGCGGAGGAAAAGAAACUAACAAGGAUUCCCCUAGUAACUGCGAGUGAAGCGGGAAAAGCUCAAAUUUAAAAUCUGGCAGUCUUUGGCUGUCCGAGUUGUAAUCUAGAGAAGUGUUAUCCGCGCUGGACCGUGUACAAGUCUCCUGGAAUGGAGCGUCAUAGAGGGUGAGAAUCCCGUCUUUGACACGGACUACCAGGGCUUUGCGAUGCGCUCUCAAAGAGUCGAGUUGUUUGGGAAUGCAGCUCAAAAUGGGUGGUAAAUUCCAUCUAAAGCUAAAUAUUGGCGAGAGACCGAUAGCGAACAAGUACCGUGAGGGAAAGAUGAAAAGAACUUUGGAAAGAGAGUUAAACAGUACGUGAAAUUGCUGAAAGGGAAACGCUUGAAGUCAGUCGCGUCGUCCAGGGAUCAACCUUGCUUUUGCUUGGUGCACUUUCUGGUUGACGGGUCAGCAUCAAUUUUGACUAUUGGAAAAAGAUCAAGGGAAUGUGGCAUCUUUGGAUGUGUUAUAGCCCUUGGUUGCAUACAAUGGUUGGGAUUGAGGAACUCAGCACGCCGCAAGGCCGGGUUUUUAACCACGUACGUGCUUAGGAUGUUGGCAUAAUGGCUUUAAUCGACCCGUCUUGAAACACGGACCAAGGAGUCUAACAUGCCUGCGAGUGUUUGGGUGGAAAACCCGAGCGCGCAAUGAAAGUGAAAGUUGAGAUCCCUGUCGUGGGGAGCAUCGACGCCCAGACCAGACCUUUUGUGACGGAUCUGCGGUAGAGCAUGUAUGUUGGGACCCGAAAGAUGGUGAACUAUGCCUGAAUAGGGUGAAGCCAGAGGAAACUCUGGUGGAGGCUCGUAGCGAUUCUGACGUGCAAAUCGAUCGUCAAAUUUGGGUAUAGGGGCGAAAGACUAAUCGAACCAUCUAGUAGCUGGUUCCUGCCGA